rnacentral:rRNA from 1 species
UACGUAGGGUGCGAGCGUUGUCCGGAAUUACUGGGCGUAAAGAGCUCGUAGGUGGUUUGUCGCGUUGUCCGUGAAAACUCACAGCUUAACUGUGGGCGUGCGGGCGAUACGGGCAGACUGGAGUACUGCAGGGGAGACUGGAAUUCCUGGUGUAGCGGUGGAAUGCGCAGAUAUCAGGAGGAACACCGGUGGCGAAGGCGGGUCUCUGGGCAGUACUGACGCUGAGGAGCGAAAGCGUGGGGAGCGAACAGG